UCUUAUGGAUGAGCAAACAAAGUGGCUUCUUGAGAUAGAAUCUGUCCUGAGGAAGAUGAUGUGAA
rnacentral:pre_miRNA from 1 species